GAACAGCAGCGGCUUUACAAAUAUCCCAUACUACCGUAAGUAAGUACGUGGCUAUUGGUUACAGUGGUGUACCAUAUUGUACACCUGGUAAAGAGCGACCAAGAGAUUCCAAACUUCGCAACGUGUCCAUUGAAGUCAAGGAACAAAUCAGGCAUUUGAUUUAUACAGCCUGUGACGAAAGACGAACCAUUAAAAUCUCUAAAUUACACCAACAAAUCAGAAGUCACGGUAUCGCUUUUUACGGUUCACCCGAGAUACUCAGGAAGGUUCUACAUGAUAUAGGCUUUACAUAUACGAAGCGCAACAGUAAUCGGUGGCUUGUAGAAC